AAUUAUUGUUUUUGUCUGUUUAAUUUUCAAUUGAUUUUUAUUUCUUUUAUUUUCUAUUUUUGCUUCUUAUUUCUGAAAAUAUCUGCUCUUUACAUUGUUCUACUAUAUAUUUUUCUGUUGAGUUUUUUCAUGUUUUUUUCUCUCUUUCUUUUAAAAGAAAUAUCACGUCUGUAAUCCCAUUGUAAGAAUGGUGGAUGUUCUAUCUAAUACCAUUGUGUUUCCAUGAGUAAUGCCUUUUAUGGUAUAUGGUGUUUUAUAGCAGUGUGUUAACAUUUCUUAAAAUUCUGAUUCUUAUCUUUAAGGUGGACCCAAGAGUGUCUGAAGAGAAGUGGAGUGGAGAGAAUGGAGAGAAUAGGUGGAGUAUUUGAAUCCGUGCCUCCAGAUGCUUAGAUUGAACUUGUCUUAAGUAAAAUCAAUUAGGAUAAAGAGAUAUUUGUGUCAUCUAUUUUUAUGUUCUGCUUAUCAAAUGGAAGGACAAGGACAAGGAAGUCGAAAUUGCUUAGAAAUGGUUAGAGACAUAGGGAAAAGUCUA
rnacentral:lncRNA from 12 species